CCCCUAGAUGUUCUGGGCCGCACGCGCGCUACACUGAACAGUUCAACAAGUCUUAACCUUGGCCGAUAGGUCUGGGUAAUCUUUGAACGCUGUUCGUGAUUGGGAUAGACCUUUGCAAUUAUGGGUCUUCAACGAGGAAUUCCUAGUAAACGCAAGUCAUCAGCUUGCAUUGAUUACGUCCCUGCCCUUUGUACACACCGCCCGUCGCACCUACCGAGUGAAUGGUCCGGUGAAAUCUCGGGACGGCGGCUUGGUCGCUUGCGUCCGACUGCUGAAACUUGAUUAAACCAUAUCAUUUAGAGGAAGGUGAANUCGUANCA
rnacentral:rRNA from 1 species